rnacentral:lncRNA from 1 species
GUAAAAAUUAGGUGUAAACUUCCUGAUAGUUCAUACAUCGAUGAACCGCAGAAAAACACCAUUCAAUUCUUAUAAUUACAACUUUCAAAUCUUCUUUAAUUUGUUUCCUAUUUGAAAAACCCAAACUUUUAUACUGAAAUGCAAGCUUUAAGAGUACUUGGGGUUACGCGUAUUAAUUUCGUCGUCAUGGACGCGAGCGAACGACUCAUUUGCAUAAAAGCUAAAGAAAGAUGGCCGACAUCAACGUCGCGAUUGUGACGGUCUGGAGUUUUAGGCUUGAUUAAAUUAAAAUCGGAUUUUUUGAGGUUGCUAGGAUGGAAUUUGUGGUUUAACAAGUCAACUGUAACUUUUAUCAAAGAUAAUCUAUUUUUAUGAAUGUUAUAUGUCAAGAAAUUCAUUUGAAAGGGUGAUUGGAGAAAACACGUGUCAGAGUCGGUCAGAGACACUGACAGCUGGAAUUUGGAAAUUAUAUUUUUGGAAACUGGAGCAAGGAAAAAAUUUGAAUGGAUGAUAGCUAUAGGUCAACAAGAAUUAUGUACCCGUGAAUAUGAAUUAGAUCAGGUUGGAUUUGGACCAUCUGAGAUGGGAACCGGAACUGCAUUUGAAUUUAGCUGAGAAUUUUCCUUGGUGCCAGUUGAUAAUCCGAUGAGGAUUUUUGACAUUCAUUUUCUGCUCUGUUGUCGUUUCCGUAUCCUCCCGUUUAAUCAGUGUGCGGAACCCCAGAAUCGGACACAAGGACAAGACCAUUCUACCAUAUUGACAUUCCGUAUCCUCCCGUUUAAUCAGGGAGUCAGUGGCGCAGUGGUUAGCAGAUUGGACUACGCCAGCGAUCCGCGUUCGAUUACCGGACCCGGAUCGAUUCCCGGUUGCGGCUGAUAUCCCGACUAGUGUUCAGUACUGGGUGAUUUACUUUGAUUUGGUACUGUUUCCAACAGUAUCGGUCUAGACUGGAUGCUGUGGAGGUAAAUGACGCCUGCCGUGAGCUCGGCUAGAAAUAAAUUGUUCCAUCCAUUCCAGGUGAGGACUUUCGUCGGGAAGAAACUUUACUUACUUUUUAAGCGCACCUGGAGGCGUUACAUUUUGCACCGAGUGCGUUUAUUUCUGUAUCAAAAUAAAAAAAAUAUAAAAAAAAACACUAAAAUUUAAAAAAAGAACUAUGUUGUUUUAUACUGCCUAAAAUGUCAAGUAGGUAUUUAUGCUAACAUAAAUUGUUAAAUCUAACACCCAAGUAAGUACGUUACCACUUUCAGUGGAGUAAAUACGGCAAUAAGAAUACACUGGCUAUACACAUUUGACCUGGUCUAUCCAAUUCCACAUGUUGCGUGAAUUUGUUGCAUUUAAUUAGAGGGUCGCAAUGGGAUUUGUUUUCACAUAUCGGACCAUGCUUUAGAAGGAAACGAUAAUAUUUAUUUUGUUGUUUACAUGUAAAUUUGCUGAUAUAUGUCUAUCUGUUUGUACACAUGUUAUGCUCUUCAAGAAUGGAGGAAAUAAAAGAAUCAAUCAAUCAUCCUAUGUUAUCCGUGGAACGCGUUCAGUCAGAGUCGCCUCAGUUAGGAAAUAAUAUGUUUAACGUCGAGAUUAUUUCUAAGGUCACGGAGUUUGAUUGGCCAGCUGGUAAUGACAACAGAUUUCGAGGUCACUUGCUCAGUCAAGUGUGUCUUACCGGCCCUAAGUAUUCCUUCUCAAGAGAAGGAACAAUAAUACAUUGUCAUCUGUGACAGCUAUCAAUGUAGCAGAUGUGACACCCUGGAUCUCUUGAGUAAUUGAGCACAUGAUAUAGUUCUUUAGAUAAUGCACUAAAUUUUGACUGCCAUUUACUUUACCCUACCCCCUGUAAUUUAGGUGCCAAUUUAGGCAAGUGUACUUACAGUAUAUUGAUCUGCCAUGUCGGUUUUGGUGUUUGUUGUCAGACUUGAAUUUUGAGUGUUCUAUGUUUGCCAUGUUGUAAUGAAACUACAGUAAAAGUUUAGUGUUGUUUCAUUUUGCUUGAAGGAAAAUACCACCUGUGGUCGAAUUUAGGUUGUAAAUUUUCAGCAUGACUUCCUACUGAUGGCUUUCAAAAUCAUCAUGCCAGGGAUUCGAUCGGUAAGAAACUUGAAACUUAAAUGGUAAGCUUUUAUAGCACUUAUGCUGAUAGAAAGUGUUAGAAAAUAAACCAAAGAUUUGGACUUGCAUUUGUACAAAACUGCACAGCAAACUUGUUAAGCGGUCGAAAACUGGUUGUGCCGGGAUAC